rnacentral:rRNA from 1 species
ACAAUGGAGAGUUUGAUCCUGGCUCAGGAUGAACGCUAGCGGCAGGCUUAACACAUGCAAGUCGAGGGGCAGCAGGUCUUCGGACGCUGGCGACCGGCAAACGGGUGCGGAACACGUACGCAACAUACCCUUUACUGGGGGAUAGCCCGGAGAAAUUCGGAUUAAGACCCCAUAGUAUGCGAGGAAGGCAUCUUCUUUUCAUUAAAAAUUUAUUGGUAAAGGAUUGGCGUGCGUCCCAUUAGAUAGUUGGCGGGGUAACGGCCCACCAAGUCGGCGAUGGGUAGCUGGUGUGAGAGCACGACCAGCCACACGGGCACUGAGACACGGGCCCGACUCCUACGGGAGGCAGCAGUGAGGAAUAUUGGUCAAUGG